rnacentral:rRNA from 1 species
UGGGGAAUAUUGGGCAAUGGGCGAAAGCCUGACCCAGCAACGCCGCGUGAAGGAUGAAGGUUUUCGGAUCGUAAACUUCUUUGACCGGGGAAGAAAUUGACGGUACCCGGGGAACAAGCCACGGCUAACUACGUGCCAGCAGCCGCGGUAAUACGUAGGUGGCAAGCGUUAUCCGGAAUUACUGGGCGUAAAGGGCGUGUAGGCGGGAAGACAAGUCAGGAGUGAAAUCCCACGGCUUAACCGUGGAGCUGCUUCUGAAACUGUCUUUCUUGAGUAUCGGAGAGGAAAGUGGAAUUCCCAGUGUAGCGGUGAAAUGCGUAGAGAUUGGGAGGAACACCAGUGGCGAAGGCGACUUUCUGGACGAUUACUGACGCUGAGGCGCGAAAGCGUGGGGAGCAAACAGG